GGAACGGGGUGGUUGAGGGAGGGAACGGGGUGGUUGAGGGAGGGAACGGGGUGGUUGAGGUUGGGAACGGGAUGGUUGAGGUUUGGAACGGGGUGGUUGAGGUUGGGAUCUGGGUGGUUGAGGUUGGGAACAGUGUGGUUGAGGUUGGGAACAGGGUGGUUGAGGUUGGGAACGGGAUGGUUGAGGUUGGGAGGGAACGGGGUGGUUGAGGUUGGGAACGGGGUGGUUGAGGUUGGGAACGGGAUGGUUGAGGUUGGCAACGGGGUGGUUGAGGUGGUGAGGUUGGGAACGGGGUGGAUGAGGUUGAGAACAGGGUGGUUGAGGUUGAGAACGGGGUGGUUGAGGUUAGGAACAGGGUGGUUGAGGUUGGGAACGGGGUGGUUGAGGUUGGGAACAGGGUGGUUGAGGUUGAGGUUGGGAACGGGGUGGUUGAGGUUGGGAACGGGAUGGUUGAGGUUGGGAACGGGAUGGUUGAGGUUGGGAACAGGUUGGUUGAGGUUGGGAACGGGGUGGUUGAGGUUGGGGUUGGGAACGGGGUGGUUGAGGUUGGGAACGGGAUGGUUGAGGUUGUGAACGGGGUGGUUGAGGUUGGGAACGGGGUGGUUGAGGUUGGGAACAGGAUGGUUGAGGUUGGGAACAGGGUGGUUGAGGUUGGGAACGGGGUGGUUGAGGUUGUGAACGGGGUGGUUGAGGUUGGUAACGGGAUGGUUGAGGUUGAGAGGGAAUGGGGUGGUUGAGGUUGGGAACGGGAUGGUUGAGGUUGUGAACGGGGUGGUUGAGGUUGGGAGGGAACGGGGUGGUUGAGGGAGGGAACGGGGUGGUUGAGGUUGAGGUUGGGAACGGGAUGGUUGAGGUUUGGAACGGGGUGGUUGAGGUUGGGA
ensembl:lncRNA